rnacentral:rRNA from 1 species
AUACGGAGGGGGUUAGCGUUAUCCGGAAUCACUGGGCGUAAAGCGCGCGCAGGCGGUCUUUUAAGUUGGAUGUGAAAGCCUACAGCUCAACUGUAGAACUGCAUCCAAAACUAUUAGACUAGAGUCUGGGAGGGGAAGAUGGAAUUAGUUGUGUAGGGGUAAAAUCCGUAGAGAUAACUAGGAAUACCAAAAGCGAAGGCGAUCUUCUGGAACAGUACUGACGCUGAGGCGCGAAAGCGUGGGGAGCAAACAGGAUUAGAAACCCCAGUAGUCC